rnacentral:rRNA from 1 species
GAUGAACGCUGGCGGCGUGCCUAAUACAUGCAAGUCGAGCGAACGGACGAGAAGCUUGCUUCUCUGAUGUUAGCGGCGGACGGGUGAGUAACACGUGGAUAACCUACCUAUAAGACUGGGAUAACUUCGGGAAACCGGAGCUAAUACCGGAUAAUAUUUUGAACCGCAUGGUUCAAAAGUGAAAGACGGUCUUGCUGUCACUUAUAGAUGGAUCCGCGCUGCAUUAGCUAGUUGGUAAGGUAACGGCUUACCAAGGCAACGAUGCAUAGCCGACCUGAGAGGGUGAUCGGCCACACUGGAACUGGGACACGGUCCAGACUCCUACGGGAGGCAGCAGUAGGGAAUCUUCCGCAAUGGGCGAAAGCCUGACGGAGCAACGCCGCGUGAGUGAUGAAGGUCUUCGGAUCGUAAAACUCUGUUAUUAGGGAAGAACAUAUGUGUAAGUAACUGUGCACAUCUUGACGGUACCUAAUCAGAAAGCAACGGCUAACUACGUG